AUAGCGUAUAUUAAAGUUGUUGCAGUUAAAAAGCUCGUAGUUGAAUUUUAGGCCCGGUUGGACGGUCUGCCUUUGGGUUUGUACUGUCCUGACUGGGCCUUACCUUCUGGUGAGCUGUCGUGUUGUUUACUCAGCGCGGCAGGGAACCAGGACUUUUACUUUGAAAAAAUUAGAGUGUUUAAAGCAGGCAUUCGCUUGAAUACAUUAGCAUGGAAUAAUAGAAUAGGACUUUGGUUCUAUUUUGUUGGUUUCUAGGACCGAAGUAAUGAUUAAUAGGGAUAGUUGGGGGCAUUAGUAUUUAAUUGUCAGAGGUGAAAUUCUUGGAUUUAUGAAAGACUAACUUCUG
rnacentral:rRNA from 1 species